rnacentral:rRNA from 1 species
UACGCAGGCGGAAAAUUAAGUCAGUGGUGAAAUCCUGCAGCUUAACUGUAGAACUGUCAUUGAUACUGGUUUUCUUGAAUAUAGUCGAGGUAGGCGGAAUGUGUAAUGUAGCGGUGAAAUGCUUAGAUAUUACACAGAACACCGAUUGCGAAGGCAGCUUACUAAGCUAUGAUUGACGCUGAGGUACGAAAGCGUGGGGAGCGAACAGGAUUAGAUACCCUGGUAGUCC